GGUUGUGUAGUGUAGUGGUCAUCACUCCGGAUUUUGAUUACAUCAAAAUCGCUACUUCCGGCAACCCCGGUUCGAACCCGGGCACGACCU
rnacentral:tRNA from 1 species